rnacentral:rRNA from 1 species
UACCAGCACCCCGAGUGGUCGGCGCGAUUAUUGGGCCUAAAGCAUCCGUAGCCGGUCCUGCAAGUCUUCCGUUAAAUCCAGCUGCUCAACAGAUGGGCUGCGGGAGAUACUACAGGGCUAGGAGGCGGGAGAGGCAAGCGGUACUUUAUGGGUAGGGGUAAAAUCCGCUGAUCCAUAGAAGACCACCAGUGGCGAAGGCGGCUUGCCAGAACGCGCUCGACGGUGAGGGAUGAAAGUUGGGGGAGCAAACCGG